UACGUAGGGGGCGAGCGUUGUCCGGAUUUAUUGGGCGUAAAGAGCUCGUAGGCGGUUCGAUAAGUCGGACGUGAAAUCUCCACGCUCAACGUGGAGGGGCCGUUCGAUACUGUCGUGACUCGAGUCCGGUAGGGGAGUGUGGAAUUCCCGGUGUAGCGGUGAAAUGCGCAGAGAUCGGGAGGAACACCCGUAGCGAAGGCGGCACUCUGGGCCGGUACUGACGCUGAGGAGCGAAAGCCAGGGGAGCGAACGGG
rnacentral:rRNA from 1 species